CGAAAGGUACUUAAACUGGCAGCGUGCGGCGGGGCUCCCAGCGUAAUUAUCGACGUUAACACAAAGGCAGGGGAGCGUGACACCGUCAACGGGGCAAGGAGGACGAGCUCUCUGCUCCUUUCACGGAUCUGUUAGGCUCCUCUCCCAUAAGGCUUCACAGGAAGAGUGAUUGCAGUUGUUCACCUUUACGCUCUCAUCUGAUUGGACAAGAUGCUUUUGUCCAAAGCUGUACACAAGCGGAUAACGACGUGCCAAUGAUCUUCCCAUAGGACCGGUGACUUUGUGAAAGGUCAGGGGUGAGUCUCUCAGGACGUGACUCAUGUUCCGUCUGGAGAGACGGUAGCCCUCAUUGCAGUCUGACACAUCUGCCCCUGAACUUCUGAAGCUGUGGUGCUUCAGAAAACGCACAGAAAGGUCAUCUGAAGGUUAUAUCAUCCAACAGGGGCAG